CCAGCCCGCUCAGAAACUACAAAGGAAGUUGACGGGGCCCGCACAAGCGGAGGAGCAUGUGGUUAAUUCGAUGAUACGCGAGGAACCUUACCUGGGCCCGAACGUAAGAUGACUGUAGGUGAAAGCUUACAUCUCUUCGGAGCAUUUUACGAGGUGCUGCAUGGUUGUCGUCAGCUCGUGCCGUGAGGUGUCGGGUUAAGUCCCAUAACGAGCGCAACCCUACCUUUAGUUGCCAUCAGGUAAUGCUGGGGACUCUAAAGGAACUGCCUACGCAAGUAGUGAGGAAGGCGGGGAUGACGUCAAAUCAGCACGGCCCUUACGUCCAGGGCUACACACGUGCUACAAUGGCCGAUACAGAGGGCAGCUACCUGGUGACAGGAUGCAAAUCUCCAAAGUCGGUCUCAGUUCGGAUCGGAGUCUGCAACCCGACUCCGUGAAGUUGGAUUCGCUAGUAAUCGCGCAUCAGCCAUGGCGCGGUGAAUACGUUCCCGGGCCUU
rnacentral:rRNA from 1 species